GCCGGAAUACAAACAAAAUAUCGGAUAAAAGAAGUAUGACAUCCUUCAAUGUGUAAGAGGAAAAUAAGGAUCAUGGAGCCUAAACAUAAUUUAGAACCUGGUUGCUAAGGGACUUAAGUUCAAUUGUCUUCUAAGUAAACCCCAACGGGCAAUUUCGUCCCACGCGAUUUGCAAAGCAAUUAAGUGGUCUCCAAGUGGCAAAGGAAGUCCCGUCCAGAUGCCUGGCUAUUUUCCCCCCCAGUCUCUGUUGCCGACGAGUGGAUCCAAGCAGGACUUGGCCAACCGCCACUCCACCUUCUUGGGUGCCUAUCACCAAUUGGUCAUCCUCUCCAGAGAGAGAGUUUCUCAAGACAAAGGUGAGUGCCCAAAGGCACAUGUUGGCCAACCAAGUCAUAAAUCAGUGUAUCAUCCAGAAGAAACUAGCCGUAUGCAAAUGAUUUACCUUUCCUGGACUCAAAUUCACCACAGCUAUCAGGAUAAAGAGGAAGCUCCUUGAAAGGGAGAAGAUCAGUCUGCAAGAUCUUCUUACUGAAUAGAAGAGCGAAAGGAAUUCAGCUUGCCUGGUUUUAUCCAGAAUCAACCUGUUCUCGAUGGAUCCAAAUUUGUCCUACUUUGUAAAGUUUUUUUAAAGCUUUUUAUUAAACAGACAUUAAAACAUUGGACACAGUGUAACCGUCCUGGCAAUA